rnacentral:rRNA from 1 species
CCUACGGGAGGCAGCAGUGAGGAAUAUUGGUCAAUGGACGAGAGUCUGAACCAGCCAAGUAGCGUGAAGGAUGACUGCCCUAUGGGUUGUAAACUUCUUUUAUAUGGGAAUAAAAUGUUCCACGUGUGGGAUUUUGUAUGUACCAUAUGAAUAAGGAUCGGCUAACUCCGUGCCAGCAGCCGCGGUAAUACGUAGGAUCCGAGCGUUGUCCGGAUUUAUUGGGUGUAAAGGGAGCGUAGGUGGUUUGUUAAGUCAGGUGUGAAAGUUUGCGGCUCAACCGUAAAAUUGCAGUUGAAACUGGCAGUCUUGAGUACAGUAGAGGUGAGCGGAAUUCGUGGUGUAGCGGUGAAAUGCUUAGAUAUCACGAAGAACUCCGAUUGCGAAGGCAGCUCACUGGACUGCAACUGACACUGAGGCUCGAAAGUGUGGGUAGCAAACAGGAUUAGAUACCCUUGUAGUC